rnacentral:rRNA from 1 species
UGGGGAAUAUUGCACAAUGGGCGCAAGCCUGAUGCAGCCAUGCCGCGUGUGUGAAGAAGGCCUUCGGGUUGUAAAGCACUUUCAGCGAGGAGGAAGGUGGUGGACUUAAUACGUUCAUCAAUUGACGUUACUCGCAGAAGAAGCACCGGCUAACUCCGUGCCAGCAGCCGCGGUAAUACGGAGGGUACAAGCGUUAAUCGGAAUUACUGGGCGUAAAGCGCACGCAGGCGGUUUGUUAAGUCAGAUGUGAAAUCCCCGGGCUCAACCUGGGAACUGCAUUUGAAACUGGCAAGCUAGAGUCUCGUAGAGGGGGGUAGAAUUCCAGGUGUAGCGGUGAAAUGCGUAGAGAUCUGGAGGAAUACCGGUGGCGAAGGCGGCCCCCCUGGACGAAGACUGACGCUCAGGUGCGAAAGCGUGGGGCAGCAAACAGGAUUAGAUACCCUGGUAGUCCACGCUGUAAACGAUGUCGAUUUGGAGGUUGUGCCCCUUGAGGCGUGGCUUCCGGAGCUAACGCGUUAAAUCGACCGCCUGGGG